UUAUUUUUUUUUUUUCAGAGAUUGUCUGAAACCUCCCUUUGGAGGGUUGAAAGUAAGUAAUUUUAGCUAUUUAGUAGGUUUCCAAAUCAAUUUAUUAUCUCCAUUGGCAUUUUCAUUAACAAAGACUAAGAGCACAACUUAAGUGAAAUUUAGAAACUUUUUUGCGUACUUAAAUGUUCUUUUUUUUUUCUUUAAAAUGCUAUCACUUGACAAUAAUUUUAGAGACUAAUUUGAACAUCUCGCAAUUACUCACAAAAUACAAUCAUAUCUCUUUUACACCUUUGUCCAAAAUUGUUAGUUUGCCAAAAUGGAUGCCAGUAAGAGCUAUGAAAUCCAUAUUGUGAUAUUGAAGAGUUAAUAUGGUUAGGCUACAUCCUCCCCAAAACGUAUAUGGUUUGGAAGCCACAUAUGCAUUGAAAGUUGGAGUUCAUGCCACAUCAGCUACUUUGGAAUAUAAUACAGCUCUUCUGUAUUGUUCGCAUCAUCAAGUUUUUGUAACUCUCAUUGAUUUAAAAAAAAAAUCGUUAUAAUUGUAAAAAGGUACCAAAGUUGAUAAUUGUCUUCUCCAUUAGGCCUUGUAUGAUACAUAUAUUAUCUUGGUAGCCUUUUUUUUAAUUAAAAAAUAAUAAAAGUCGAUGGCUAGCCUAAAUAGGAUUGCAAAUUAAGUCCCCACUCAAGUAAUUUUACAAGGAGGCAGAAAUAGUUAGGGUUUUUAAAAGAAAGGUCAAAAAAAAAGGGGAAAGAGAGAGAGAGAGA
rnacentral:misc_RNA from 1 species